CGGGGUGAGUAAUGUCUGGGAAACUGCCUGAUGAGGGGGAUGACUACUGGAAACGGUAGCUAAUACCGCAUAACGUCGCAAGACCAAAGAGGGGGACCUUCGGGCCUCUUGCCAUCGGAUGUGCCCAGAUGGGAUUAGCUAGUAGGUGGGGUAACGGCUCACCUAGGCGACGAUCCCUAGCUGGUCUGAGAGGAUGACCAGCCACACUGGAACUGAGACACGGUCCAG
rnacentral:rRNA from 1 species